rnacentral:tRNA from 2 species
GGUCCCGUGGUGCAGUGGCCUAGCAUAUCUCCCUGUCAAGGAGAAGAUCGCCGGUUCGAAUCCGGUCGGGACCGCCA